AUGACCACACUUGAUCCAGAUCCCUUAUGGCUGUCAUUUCAUUAUCAUGAUGCGCCGCAUUGGCGCUUGAUUGACCCGCAUAUCGAUAUAUUUGUUACAAUUCUUAAUUCAAGUUUUAAGUUGGUCGGGCGUAAGGAUUUAAGUUGUACCACUACCAGCAAAGACAACCCCACUGACGAAAUGUCACGCUGCGAAGCCAUGGAGCCAACAAGUAUGCCGCUGAAGUUAUUAGAAAAAAUCACGAAUAAUUUCUCUGAGGAGCGAGUACUUGGACAUGGGGCCUAUGGAAAAGUUUACAGGGGUGUGCACGACGACAGAGGAGAUAUUGCAGUGAAGCUGCUUCAUAACAGCAUGCAAACAAUUGAUGACAAACAAUUCAUACAUGAGUUUGACAACCUUAUGAUGCUAAAGCAUCCUAACAUUGUACGGUUUGUUGGCUACUGCUAUGAAACACAACGUCAACAUAUACAGUUUGAAGGAAGAGUUGUUUUUGGUGAAACAACAUAUAAAGCACUUUGCUUCGAGUAUAUGCCAAAGGGAAGCCUUCAAAAGCAUCUGUCUGAUGAAUGUAAUGGACUUGAUUGGCAAACACGUUACAACAUUAUCAAAGGGGCAUGUGAAGGAUUAAAAUACCUUCAUGAAGGAUUCGAAAAACCAUUUUAUCAUCUUGACCUAAAACCAGAUAAUAUACUUUUAGAUGAAAACAUGACACCAAAACUGGCAGAUUUUGGUUUGUCCAAGCUCGUCGGUGAAGAACAAACCAGGAUAACACAAAGUCCUAUUGCAGGAACUCUUGGAUACAUGGCACCAGAAUACUUAUCUGAAAGCAAGGUCUCAAAGAAGUUAGACAUAUUUAGCUUGGGUGUUGUAAUGACCAAGAUAAUUGCUGGGCCUAACGGCCAGACAAUAUACGCUGAAAUUCCGUACAAACAGUUUCUUGAUCAAGUACAAGGAAAUUGGAGAAAAAGGUUGCAAACACCAUGGAGUUCUCCCGAGUCACUAGAGGCACUGUGCCAGCAAGUGAAAAGAUGCACUGAGAUUGCACUGACCUGCAUGGAGAUCGACAGACACAAAAGGCCUAGCAUAGUGGAUAUCAUACACGACCUUGACCAGACCGAAAAAAAUAUUGAAAAUAUUAAUUCUUAUGAACAAGAUCCAUCACCGCCACUUGAUUCCUCUUCAAAUGUUGUUGAACCUGUAGCAUCAGCUCCACCUACAACUCCAUCUCCACCACCUUUCCUAACCCAAUCUUAUAUUGGAUCUUCAACACCAUGUCCGCGUCCACCUCCAAAAAAUAGUCCGGUUAUGACGCCGCCACCACCACCACCACCAGUCCCACGCGGUGGCAUCAUGGAACUCUUCGGCACGUUCAUGCAUCGCAAGGCCAAGAUAUCCGGACAUGGUCAAAGGUUCACUUACAAUGAAUUGGCGUCAGCAACACAUGACUUCUCGAAAACGCAAAAGCUUGAAGAGGGUGCCUUUUGGACAGUCUAUAAAGGUACAUUAACGUUGCAAGACAAACAAGGUAAGAAACAAGAAGUGUCUGUGGCUAUAAAAAAGAAUAAACAUGGAAUGUCAGAUGAAGCCAGGGAAGCCUUUAAGAAUGAGAUUGAUAUUAUGAGCCCGCUGAACCACCACAAUAUUAUACGUCUUGUUGGUUGGUGUGACAAAAGGAACAAUCUCUUGCUUGUCUAUGAACUAUUGGAGGAUCGCAACCUUGAGGCUCAUCUUUACGGCCAUGGUGCUCAUAUGGAUGCGGAACAUUCUAGUGCAAGGUCUCCAGGUUCAGGUUUUGUUCUGGAUUGGCGCAAAAGGUACAACAUACUUAUUGGAAUAGCCUCAGGUCUUGAAUACCUCCAUACUAAAUGUAUGAAAUGCAUCUUGCAUAGGGAUAUCAAGCCAGAAAAUGUGAUGUUGGACAGUGGCUUCAAUGCUAAGCUGUGUGGCUUCGGGCUCGUGAUGCAACUCAACCAUGCCAUGACCUCGCGGUCGAUGGACAACAUCAUUAAGUCACAAGUCUACAUGGACCCAGCAUACCGGCAGAACGUUGGAGGAAAUAGGGAAUCUGAUGUCUACAGCUUUGGUGUGUUGUUGCUUGAGGUUAUAUGUGGCGUGAAACCAAAGCUUACCUCAAUUGAUAAAGGCACGAAAAAUAGCCUAGUCGAGAUGGUCCGGGAAUGUCAGGAGAGAGAUGCAAUUCUUGAUGCAGCUGACCAACGGUUGAGGGGCGAGUUUGACGAGGAAAUUAAAGGGGUGUUGUUUAUCGGGCUCCGGUGUGUCGAAACUAGACAUGGUGACCGUCCAACUAUCGAAAUUGUGUUGGACCGGUUAGUAAGCCUGACGGCUAAAUAG
rnacentral:rRNA from 1 species